CUUCUGUCUCAGUCAAGGGUUCCCAAGCCCAUGGAACAGGUAUCUCGGUUAAUGGUCAUCACACGGCCUCGUGCAAUGUGUUUGUCCUUAGCCUCAGAUCUCCAGCUUGGCUGAAGAAGAAGCGUCAGGGAAACACGUAGGCUAUUUGGCACCUACGGCACAUUAACUGAC
ncrna:unclassified sequences Hairpin-meta1 ribozyme sequence